rnacentral:rRNA from 1 species
UACGUAGGGUGCGAGCGUUUGUCCGGAAUUAUUGGGCGUAAAGAGCUCGUAGGCGGUGUGUCGCGUCGGCCGUGAAAACCUGGGGCUUAACUCUGGGCGUGCGGUCGAUACGGGCAUCACUGGAGUUCGGCAGGGGAGACUGGAAUUCCUGGUGUAGCGGUGAAAUGCGCAGAUAUCAGGAGGAACACCGGUGGCGAAGGCGGGGUCUCUGGGCCGAUACUGACGCUGAGGAGCGAAAGCAUGGGUAGCGAACAGG